GAGCAGACUCAAUGCUUCACGGGAAGUAGCCCCGGUGAGCCUCCCGAACUGCCGGCUCAUUAAAGGCAUUGAAACUGGUUCAGAAGACAUCGAUAUACUUCCCAAUGGACUGGCUUUCAUCAGCUCUGGCUUGAAAUAUCCAGGAAUAAAGAGCUUUGCUCCAGAUAAGCCAGGUGAAAUAUUUUUGAUGGAUUUGAAUGAAGACAAUCCCAGAGCAGUGGAACUGAGAAUCAGCCGAGGGUUUGAUCUGGCAUCGUUCAACCCUCAUGGAAUCAGCACCUACAUAGACAGAGAUGACACCGUGUACCUCUUUGUGGUGAACCAUCCCCACCAGAAGAGCACUGUAGAGUUGUUUAAAUUUGUAGAAGAUGACAAUUCUCUUGUGCACCUGAAAACCAUUCGACAUGACCUUCUGACAAGUGUGAAUGACAUAGUAGCCAUGGGACCAGACAGCUUCUAUGCUACCAAUGACCACUACUUCUCUGACUUCCUCUUGAUGUUCUUAGAAAUGUUCUUGGGUUUAACCUGGUCAAAUGUUGUUUACUACAGUCCAAAAGAAGUUAAAGAAGUAGCAUCUGGGUUUUAUUCAGCCAAUGGAAUUAACAUUUCACCUGAUAGAAAGUACAUCUAUAUUGCAGAUGUAUUGGAUCACAAUGUCCAUGUCAUGGAAAAACAUGCUAACUGGAGUUUAACCCAUGUGAAGACGCUGCAGCUGGACACGCUGGUCGAUAACUUGUCUAUUGACCCUCACACUGGAGACAUCUGGAUAGGAUGUCAUCCCAAUGGGAUGAAGCUGUUCCACUAUGAUCCUGAAAAUCUUCCUGCAUCUGAGGUGCUGCGCAUCCAGAGCAUCCUCUCGGAGCAGCCCGUGGUGACGCGCGUCUACGCUGACGACGGCUCCGUGCUGCAGGGCAGCUCCGUGGCAUCCCCCCACCAGGGAAAGCUGCUCAUCGGCACAGUCUUCCACAGAGCUCUCUUCUGUCAUCUAUAGCUCCUCACGGGCAAGGCCUGCUGCUGUGGAAAGGAUUUCAUUCCUUGGGAACUCGCUUAGGUUCUGCUAGAUCUGCUAACAACAAGACUGUUCCAAUAAAGGUUAACUACAGUAAUGGAAAUGUAUUGUAGCCUUCCUCUCCAAAGUAAGACUUCUACACAAUAGUAAAGGACAUGGAAUUGAAGUGCUCCUGUGCUGAAGAUGUUCCUGUUGGUCUGCCUACAGAUGGAACCAUGGGCAAGUGAAGGCUCUUACCUUUUCCUACAGUGUUUGAGAGGAGAGACAUCCCAGCUGCCUGCUGUUCCUGACAGUGACAUCUGCCCUGAGGCCAGGAGGGCAGGAAGCCCAUUGCCAACCUCCUCCCAGGCUUCCCAGCCUUGCAGGGCAGAGCUGGGAGCUGGAGCAGGGCAGGACCCAGCCAGCCAGCAGGUGUGUGCAGCAAGAGCCACGCCGGGCCACAGCUCCUUCCCCUGGCAGCCGCAGGGCAGAAAGAGCCGGGUGCAAGAUGCAGCUCAAGCCUGGCCUCCCAAUUGCCAAGUAACCUGCACACGGAAAAUCCAGGCUCGCCAGCCCAAGGAGGGCAUAACCCAUCAUGUUUAACAUGCUGUAGAGACUGGAGCAGUUCUGGGCAUUUCUGAAACCCAGCUGCAGCUAUGUGAGACAACUUGCACAAAAGGAAAGACAUAUGUACAGAUGGCUCCAGGCCUAGGGAGCUGCUGGGCAGACACAUUUUAUGUGUCAGUUGUGGACCCAGAGCAUCUUAGUAUAUCUAUUUUAAUUAAGAGAAUAAUUUUAUGAUUGAGGACUCUCUUUAUUUCUUGCAGGUGGUGCCUGUAUUAGUGGAAGGUAAGAUUUAUGAUUCAGUCAUCGGGAAACACAAACUGGGUUAGACAGAUUAAGUGCACAGAUUCUGUUUGGCCUAGAUUCUGCCAGAUGUAAAUCCACUGAAAUGACUACACAAAUUGCACAGUCUGUGCCCUUCGAUUUUCCCUAACUUAAUGCUUUACUAAAAUCAAAUAAAUAAAAGACUUAUUAAACAUAUUCAGUAAAAGUACUGCUGUACUUUGAAUGUAUAAAAUGCCAAUUAUAAAUAACCUACACUUGAGUGUAAAAUGUUUUUAUGUAACAAAAUAAAUCUAGAUCUUUUAAACACAUAAAAAUUUACCAGUACCAACGUGAAAAGCCUAUUUUUACAUCAACCUGCAGCAAAAGACUGCAUGCUACACUUCACCUUCAUAUGAAGAAAAAACCCAAUUUUUUCCUUUUUUUUUUACUUCUUUCUACAUAGUUACAGAGUGUAAAUGAGACCCACUUGCGGGCUUGUGAAUCAUGCCAAUUUGGCUAAGAACUGGGAUUAAAAUAAUCUUUGGCUGAGCAGAAGGAAGUGAAGAACAAGCAGGGCAAGGUACAUAUUCCCCUGGCCCCCAGCCUGACCCAUGCAGCUGUCUGGUCAUCCUCACCAUUUACUAUUUCUUCUGAAAUGACAAAGAAAAGGGCAGAAAAGUGAGGACUCAUUACAAAUUCUAAUAAAGAUUCAGGAUUUCUCUUUUUAUUGCAUUCGUUGUCUAACAACAACAAUACUCAUUGGCAAGAAAUUUAUUUACACUAACAAAUUAACUUUAAACCACAAGGCUUUGUUGUUUGUAUUUCAACUGUAAGAAAACAAAGGGCCACCAUGAUGCUUUCUUUUGAUGUCUCCCAAUAAGUAAAUAUUAAACAAAGUUAUCCUGGGGAAAACUCAACAAUCUAGAGAAGUUCAUAUCAACCAAGCACAAGAGAACAAGCUCAGACAUGGCACUACUGUGUCCUUCAUGCAGGUGAUCAGACACCAAGAUGUACGAACAAAAAGUUCAGGAUAACAUGCAUUUCAUAUACAUUUGACCUCUUUAAAAAAAGAACAGAAAAA